rnacentral:lncRNA from 1 species
AGGGAACCAAGAAGUCCAGAGCACUGAGGUGGGAGUGAGCUGGCAGGCUUCAGGGAGAUCGGUUCUUCCAGCCCUGCUAGACAGCGCUGGAAGGAGAAGCAGCAGAAGAGGAGACUGGAAGCUGACAGGAUGGGCCACCACGGGCUCUGGCUCUUACUUAUGGGAGCUGCUGGGGCACGGGAGCUGAGGAGCGCUGGUCUGGAGUGCAUUUGAAAGGAUCCCUCUGGCUGUGUGCAGAGAAAGGGCUGCACAGAUGGAAGCCAGGUGUGUACCAGUGGGAUGCUCCUGCCUCCCUCCAGGUGUGUACCAACAGGAAGCUCCUGCCGCCAGUCAGUCCUACAAGAUGUUGCAAUGAUGCUUGCUUUGUGGAAGACAUCGUAGAUCCUGAAGGUGAGCACUGCUCUGAGCCACACGCCAGAAGCCAUUCACUCCUCACUCGCAAGCCCAUGCUGGUGCCCCUGCUCUUCUUGUGUAUGCAGAAGAGAAACGGUAGGCCGGCCCAGCUCAGAAUCUGUCACCCCCAAAUAAACCCGACCUUAAGAACCUUCAUUCUCAUCUUCUACCUGCCUUCCCCUCCCCCUCACACUAAUCCACAUUCCGGUAAGAGAGGAGCCAGUCAGCCAGGGAUCCUAUGAGAGUCUGGGAGGGGUUGGACCUGAUGAUACCCAGUCCAAGGAAGCUGGAAGAAAUUCGUAUGCGGCCGUGCCCAGGAAUAAACAUUCAGGAGCCAUUUGGUCCACAGGCUAAACCAGUUGUUCACCAAAGUGUCCUCUGUGUGCCCUGGGUUUCAGUCGCCUGCCUACAACCAACCGUGACCCCACCUAGCUCUUACCUUCCUUGCGGUUGACUUUCUCUGAGCUCAGAGUAAAUAGCCUCAGCCCCUCCCAACAAUGGCAUGUCUCCGGUCCCCGCCUGGGCCUGCAAAGCUGGAAGAAACCUUUUCGGCCACUUUACCAAAGUCCUUCUUUAGCUCAGCGGUUGGAUGCACUCAUGUCGGCAAAGGCUACCCAUCUGACUUAGAGUUUUUAAUGUUGCAGAAGUCUCUCGUCUCCAGCAGCAGAAUCCUCCGGGGCCUUACAGACUCUUGGAUCCCAGGAGCCAGAAACUGCUUACAGGGUGCUUCUUGUGUAACUCCCUUAGUCAUUGUUUUGGCAUUUGCAGGCCCAAGUCCCCUGUUAUAAAGCAGAGUGGGCCCUCACCUGACAUUUUCUCCUGGCAAUACUUGUCUUAAUUUUUUUGUUAAUGUUCUAAUUUUUUAAAAAAAGAAAUAAUAUAUCUUUAUCACAUCUCCCCCUCCCCCGACUUCCUGACCCUCCACACUAUCUUCCUACCCACCCAACUUCCUGUUCUUUCUCUCUCACCACCAUCCCGCUCCCCCCC